UCAAGCGAACAAGAGCAUAAGGUGAAUGCCUUGGCAUCAGGAGCCGAAGAAGGACGCGACUAACUGCGAUAAGCCACGGGGAGCUGUAAAUAAGCAUUGAUCCGUGGAUUUCCGAAUGGGGAAACCCUCAUGAUGAAGAAUCAUGAAACGUUUACUGAAUUCAUAGGUAACCGUGGGGAACCCGGGGAACUGAAACAUCUAAGUACCCGGAGGAAAAGAAAUCAACCGAGAUUCUGCGAGUAGUGGCGAGCGAAAGUGGAAGAGGCGAAACCGAGACUGGUAACAGUGUCGGGGUUUGGACUGCGACAUAGAGAAGUGAACUUAGUCGAAUGGUAUGGAAAAGCCAACCGUAGCGGGUGAGAGUCCCGUAGACGAAAAGGGAAACGAUCUUAGCAGUAUCCAUAGUAUCAGCGGACACGAGAAAUCCGGUGAGAAGACGGGGGGACCACCCUCCAAGCCUAAAUACUACCUGAUGACCGAUAGUGGAGCAGUACUGUGAAGGAAAGGUGAAAAGAACCCCGGGAGGGGAGUGAAAGAGAACCUGAAACCUUAUGUUUACAAGCACACAAAGCACGUUAAGGUGCGAUGUGGUACUUUUUGUAGAACGGUCCGGCGAGUUAUUGUAUGCAGCGAGGUUAAGCGAUUCAGUCGCGGAGCCGUAGGGAAACCGAGUGUGAUAAGCACGACAAGUUGCAUGUAAUAGACCCGAAACCGGGUGACCUAUCCAUGAGCAGGUUGAAGUAGAGGUAAAACUCUAUGGAGGACCGAACCGACCCCCGUUGAAAAGUUGGCGGAUGACUUGUGGAUAGCGGAGAAAUUCCAAUCGAACCCGGAUAUAGCUGGUUCUCCCCGAAAUAGCUUUAGGGCUAGCCUGUGAUAUAUUUACCGGAGGUAAAGCACUGAAUAGACGAGGGGCCGAGAGGUUACCAACUCUUAUCAAACUCAGAAUGCCGGAUAAAUGAGUCAUGGAGUCAGACUACGUGAGAUAAGUCUCGUGGUCAAAAGGGAAACAGCCCAGACCUGCAGCUAAGGUCCCAAAUAUACGCUAAGUGGAAAAGGAUGUGACAAUGCUAAGACAACUAGGACGUUGGCUUAGAAGCAGCCACUCAUUCAAAGAGUGCGUAAUAGCUCACUAGUCGAGUGAUGUUGCGCCGAAAAUUUAACGGGGCUAAGCGUAUAACCGAAGCUCAGGAUACCUUUGGGUAUGGUAGGGGAGCGUUGCGUACGGGGCGAAGCAUGAGCGGAAGCACAUGUGGACUGUACGGAAGUGAGAAUGCCGGAAUGAGUAGCGAGAAUUGUGUGAGAAUCAUAAUGGCCGAAAAUCUAAGGUUUCCGGGGGUAGGUUCGUCCGCCCCGGGUAAGCCGGGAGCUAAGGCGAGGCCGCAAGGCGUAGUCGAUGCACACACGGUGGAGAUUCCGUGGCCGCUAAAUAACUUAAGUACACUGACACGAAUGCAAAGUUCGACCGGCAGCUGGUGUCCGGAUCCGCAAGGAGCACUGAAAUUCAAAUAGGGAAAAGAAUGGAGCAGGCGGCGAGAAAAGGUGUAUGUAUGUUAUAGGCGCCCGUACCGCAAACCGACACAGGUGGAUGAGGAGAGAAUCCUAAGGCCAACGGGAGAAGGGUUGUUAAGGAACUCGGCAUAUUAACCCCGUAACUUCGGAAGAAGGGGUGCCUGCGCAAGCAGGUCGCAGUGAAAAGGCCCAGGCAACUGUUUAACAAAAACACAGGUCUCUGCAAAACCGAAAGGUGAAGUAUAGGGGCUGACGCCUGCCCGGUGCCGGAAGGUCAAGGGGAAUGCUUAGCGCAAGCGAAGGCAUGAACUUAAGCCCCGGUAAACGGCGGCCGUAACUAUAACGGUCCUAAGGUAGCGAAAUUCCUUGUCAGGUAAGUUCUGACCCGC
rnacentral:rRNA from 1 species